rnacentral:rRNA from 1 species
GACGAACGCUGGCGGCGUGCUUAACACAUGCAAGUCGUACGGUAAGGCCCUUUCGGGGGUACACGAGUGGCGAACGGGUGAGUAACACGUGAGUAACCUGCCCACAACUUUGGGAUAACGCUAGGAAACUGGUGCUAAUACUGGAUAUGUGCUCCUGCUGCCUGGUGGGGGUUGGAAAGCUCCGGCGGUUGUGGAUGGACUCGCGGCCUAUCAGCUUGUUGGUGGGGUAGUGGCCUACCAAGGCGGCGACGGGUAGCCGGCCUGAGAGGGUGACCGGCCACAUUGGGACUGAGAUACGGCCCAGACUCCUACGGGAGGCAGCAGUGGGGAAUAUUGCACAAUGGGCGCAAGCCUGAUGCAGCAACGCCGCGGGCGGGAUGACGGCCUUCGGGUUGGAAACCGCUUUCAGCAGGGACGAAGCUUUUUGUGACGGUACCUGCAGAAGAAGCACCGGCUAACUACGUG